rnacentral:lncRNA from 1 species
GAGAAGAUGUUGAUCUUCAUUUAUUUCUACCAGAUUGCCACCCUAGCAAAUACUCAUUAUUUAUGCUGGUAAAGAAUUGUCACCCAAAUAAGAUGGCUGCUGAAGCUGGUGUCCCUGCUGAGUGUCAGAGUGGCCAGAAGACAGUUAAGCCAAAGUGGCGCAACGUCACCCAGGAAAAGGCCGGUUGGGUUGAGUGCUGGACUGUCCCAAGUGUCAUGCUUACCAUUGAUUACACCUGGCAUCCAAUUUAUCCACAAAAAGCAGAUGAGCAGCUAAAACAGUCAUUGUCAGAAAUGGAAGAAACAAUGCUAUCUGUAUUAAGGCCAGCCCAGAAGCCAUCAGAGAGAGUUGUUUCUUCACCAUCCACUUCACCACGCCCUCCUGUUGAUCCUUCAGAACUUCCACCUGAUAAACUUCAUGUAGAAAUGGAACUGUCCCCAGAUUCUCAGAUAACUCUCUAUGGACCUCUGUUAAAUGCCUUUUUAUGUAUAAAGGUAUUAUUUUAAGAAAAACUUACAUUUUUAAACAUAUGCUAAGCAGUGAUAAUAGAAAAUUAGGGCCAUAAAGAAUAUCUAGUUGGAUUUAAAUAGUUGUUUAUGUAUUUUAUGUAUGUAACUGGCUGUACUCUAUCCUACCCCCACCCACCCAAAUGACCAGAUUUUUUUUUAUGAAAAUAAUUUUUUCAUGUUUUUCCCUUUCCUAACUCCUCUUAGAUAUUCCCCUCCUCCCUACAAACCUAACUUUAUAUAUUUUCCUCCCUCUAUCUCUUUCAAAAAAGGAAAAAAAAAACAAGCAAAU